CCUACGGGUGGCAGCAGUGAGGAAUAUUGGUCAAUGGGCGAGAGCCUGAACCAGCCAAGCCGCGUGAAGGAUGAAGGAUCUAUGGUUUGUAAACUUCUUUUAUAUGGGAAUAAAGUGAGGAACGUGUUUCUUUUUGUAUGUACCAUAUGAAUAAGGAUCGGCUAACUCCGUGCCAGCAGCCGCGGUAAUACGGAGGAUGCGAGCGUUAUCCGGAUUUAUUGGGUAUAAAGGGUGCGUAGGUGGAUAAUUAAGUCAGCGGUGAAAGUUUGGGGCUCAACCAUAAAAUUGCCGUUGACACUGGUUAGCUAGAGAAUAUUUGAGGUAGGCGGAAUGCGUGGUGUAGCGGUGAAAUGCGUAGAUAUCA
rnacentral:rRNA from 1 species